AACGAACGCUGGCGGCAGGCCUAACACAUGCAAGUCGAGCGAGGACUUCGGUUCUAGCGGCGGACGGGUGAGUAACGCGUGGGAAUGUGCCCUUCUCUACGGAAUAGCCCUGGGAAACUGGGAGUAAUACCGUAUACGCCCUAUUGGGGAAAGAUUUAUCGGAGAAGGAUCAGCCCGCGUUGGAUUAGGUAGUUGGUGGGGUAAUGGCCGACCAAGCCGACGAUCCAUAGCUGGUUUGAGAGGAUGAUCAGCCACACUGGGACUGAGACACGGCCCAGACUCCUACGGGAGGCAGCAGUGGGGAAUCUUAGACAAUGGGGGCAACCCUGAUCGAGCCAUGCCGCGUGAGUGAUGAAGGCCUUAGGGUUGUAAAGCUCUUUCAGCUGGGAAGAUAAUGACGGUACCAGCAGAAGAAGCCCCGGCUAACUCCGUG
rnacentral:rRNA from 1 species